ACGGCGCAAGUGCCAUGAGCACGGCGAGCGCUGUCUUUCCCGUUUCCUACGGCGCCGGGUACCACGUGACGUUACGCAGCGAGAUUUGCUCCGCGCGUACUAAGAAACCGGGUUCUACACCGCCGCAGCGAAGCCAAAAGCGGAAAAUAUAUUCACCAGAGACCGCAGGUGUGAUCCACCGACUAAGGAACAGUACGCAAAGACGACGAACCCCUGAUUGGCCCCUGCUCCUCCUGGAUUUACAGUUUCUCAACAAAAAACUUGGUGCUACUUGUUAUUGUCUCGUAACUGUGCCAUUUAUGCCAAGAUGACAAUAGAAUAAGCGAAGUGCAUUACACAUUUUAAGAAACAUCUGCAAUAUGCUCGCGACGAAUUUCGCAAUGAUACCUUGUUCGCAUGCAUAUGAAUGAAACUUUUGUGGUCUUACAUGCUGUAUUGCGAAAUAAAACCAUAUAUGAAAAAAAAAGAACUAUAUACGU